rnacentral:tRNA from 1 species
GGAGUUGUGGAUCAAUGGUAGAACACUUGCCUCCCAGGCAUGAGGCACUGGGUUUGAUCCCCAGAACCACA